rnacentral:rRNA from 1 species
UACGGGGGGUGCGAGCGUUGUCCGGAAUCACUGGGCGUAAAGGGCGCGUAGGUGGUUUGAUAAGGGUGUGGUGAAAGUCCGGGGCUCAACCCCGGAUCUGCCGUGCCGACUGUCAAACUCGAGGGCUGUAGAGGCAGACGGAAUUCCUGGUGUAGCGGUGGAAUGCGCAGAUAUCAGGAGGAACACCGGUGGCGAAGGCGGGUCUCUGGGCAGUAACUGACGCUGAGGAGCGAAAGCGUGGGGAGCGAACAGG